GACGAACGCUGGCGGCGUGCUUAACACAUGCAAGUCGAACGGAAAGGCCCUGCUUUUGUGGGGUGCUCGAGUGGCGAACGGGUGAGUAACACGUGAGUAACCUGCCCUUGACUUUGGGAUAACUUCAGGAAACUGGGGCUAAUACCGGAUAGGAGCUCCUGCUGCAUGGUGGGGGUUGGAAAGUUUCGGCGGUUGGGGAUGGACUCGCGGCUUAUCAGCUUGUUGGUGGGGUAGUGGCUUACCAAGGCUUUGACGGGUAGCCGGCCUGAGAGGGUGACCGGCCACAUGGGGACUGAGAUACGGCCCAGACGCCAACGGGAGGCAGCAGUGGGGAAUAUUGCACAAUGGGCGGAAGCCUGAGGCAGCAACGCCGCGGGCGGGAUGACGGCCUUCGGGUUGUAAACCGCUUUCGCCUGUGACGAAGCGUGAGUGACGGUAAUGGGUAAAGAAGCACCGGCUAACUACGUG
rnacentral:rRNA from 1 species